GAUGUGAAAGCUGGGAGGCAUCUCUUGGUUUUCAAAGCUGGGGACCGUAAGGCCUGGCGCUUCAUGAUGAGCCCGCGGCCUAUCAGCUAGUUGGUAAGGUAACGGCUUACCAAGGCUAAGACGGGUAGCUGGUCUGAGAGGACGACCAGCCACACUGGAACUGAGACACGGUCCAGACACCUACGGGUGGCAGCAGUCGAGAAUUUUUCACAAUGGGCGCAAGCCUGAUGGAGCGACGCCGCGUGGGGGAUGAAUGGCUUCGGCCCGUAAACCCCUGUCAUUUGCGAUCAAACGUUAUUGUUUAAGAGAUGAUGACCUGAUAGUAGCGAAAGAGGAAGGGACGGCUAACUCUGUGCCAGCAGCCCGCGGUAAUACAGAGGUCCCAAGCGUUGUUCGGAUUCACUGGGCGUAAAGGGUGCGUAGGUGGCGGGGUAAGUCGGAUGUGAAAUCUCCGAGCUCAACUCGGAAAUGGCAUUGGAAACUGCUCU
rnacentral:rRNA from 1 species